GUGAUUAGUUUUUUUUCUGUUGCCUUGUGCAGUGCAGGUUGAGGAUGGUGGUGUUAUGCUUGAGCUGGGAUGGAGGUUCAAAUGAAGAUGAAGAUACUGGUUAUAUUUUUUUGUUAUGUUCUCCUGAUAAGUAUCUAGCUUAACAACAAAGGGGAUGGUGAUGAUGGGUAAGAAAGUAGGCUCUUCUCUUGGUCGACCUCUCUUUUGUUUCUUUCUUUUCCGAUAUAUUGAGUACACCUCCUCCAGGAAUGGAAUGGAUGAUGAAGGUGACUCUUGAUGGAAGCAAAGGCUAGAGUCACUAGUGCAAAACUAGGUUUUUAAGUCUGUCAAUUUAAGUCUGUUAGAAAAAAUUCAGACUUAAAAAAUAUGCGGUGGCAAUUUUGUAAAUAAAAGNUACUAUUUUAAGUCUGUUAAAAUAAUAUCAGACUUAAAUUUAUCUUUUAAGUCUAUUAAAAGAGAACCAGACUUAAAUUUUACAAUUUUACAUCUGUUUAAAUUUCAACAGACUUAAAUUUAUGCUAAUUUUAAAAUAAAAAUUAAAUUUAUCUUUUUUAAUUGCUUUUUAGGUUUUAGANCGCUGCAAANCCUCCCAUUUCUCUCCUUCCCCAUCUCUUUUGCGAUUUCUCUCCCUCCCCGUCUCCACACCAAUUUGUUUCCCAAUCUCUCAUCCACCUGACAACGACGACCUUUGGUGGCUCAACAACAACAACGUCCUUGAUGCUCAUCUGCAUGAUUAUUGGUGCGUUUUGGGGGUUAGGGUUUAAAAUUGGGGAUUUGGGUUUUUUAUUCUUGGGGAUUAGGGUUUAAUAUUGGAGAUUUGGGUUUCUAUUCUGGUUUUCAUUGUGUUGCUCUAUUACUAGUUUAUAGUUUAUAGAAGAUAGUGAUUGUGGCUAAUAUUCACAGUAGUAUCAUCACUUCUUUGAACACUAUCAUGGGUUAUGACAUCUUUCAUUUUCUUAAAUUUUCCUCCCAUAUGGCACACUGUUUUGGUUACAAGUUUCUGAAAUUUUUUGCAAAAUUAGUCACCGCUCUGUUAUUGCCACUNGAUUGGGAAGCACAAGUGUUNGAUUCACUAUACUGUGAAUGAUGAAGGUAUGUUUUUUAAGCUGAUUACNGUAUGAUACUGUGAUUUUCUGGUUUGCUCCUUGUUGUAUCUUGUAUACUCUGUUAUGCCAUAUUGUGAAAGCUUGCUAUUAGUGGUUGUCUAGAUCAAAGCUUGCUAUUAGUGGUUGUCUAGAUACAAUGAUCUGGUUUAUGGGAUUAAUAAUUCCCUCACGCAAUUAAAUUAUCCUCCAUGUAACUUUGUGUUGUAUAAAUUUUUUUACAUUAACGCAUGCCAUCAUGUAACAGUCCAACUUCAAUUCNNN
rnacentral:lncRNA from 1 species